AUGAAGACACUGCCUGGACCUUUUGUCCUGUGCUUGUGGCUGCAGCUGAACUGUGUGAGCAGAGGAGAGCAGCUGGAGCAGCAGCCUUUUCUCCUGAGUGUCCAGGAGGGAGACAGCGCUGUCAUCAACUGCACCUACACAGACAGUUCCACUUCUUACUUCUUGUGGUACAAACAAGAGCCUGGAGUGGGUCUCCAGUUCCUUAUAAGUGUUCUUUCAAGUGUGGACAGAAAAGAAGAACAAGGAUUGAUUGUCCUACUGAAGAAGAAGGACAAACAUCUCUCCCUGAACAUCACAGCUGCCCAUCCUGAGGACUCAGCCACGUACUUCUGUGCAGCAAAAGGUGCUUUCAUCAAGGCUUAG